rnacentral:rRNA from 1 species
GGGGAUGCGGAGGGAUCAUUGCUGGAACGCGCCCCAGGCGCACCCAGAAACCCUUUGUGAACUUAUACCUUACUGUUGCCUCGGCGCUAGCUGGUCCUUCGGGGCCCCUCACCCUCGGGUGUUGAGACAGCCCGCCGGCGGCCAACCUAACUCUUGUUUUUACACUGAAACUCUGAGAAUAAAACAUAAAUGAAUCAAAACUUUCAACAACGGAUCUCUUGGUUCUGGCAUCGAUGAAGAACGCAGCGAAAUGCGAUAAGUAAUGUGAAUUGCAGAAUUCAGUGAAUCAUCGAAUCUUUGAACGCACAUUGCGCCCUCUGGUAUUCCGGAGGGCAUGCCUGUUCGAGCGUCAUUUCAACCCUCAAGCCUGGCUUGGUGAUGGGGCACUGCUUCUUACCCGAGAAGCAGGCCCUGAAAUUCAGUGGCGAGCUCGCCAGGACCCCGAGCGCAGUAGUUAAACCCUCGCUCUGGAAGGCCCUGGCGGUGCCCUGCCGUUAAACCCCCAACUUCUGAAAAUUUGACCUCGGAUCAGGUAGGAAUACCCGCUGAACUUAAGCAUAUCAA